rnacentral:rRNA from 1 species
UAGAGUUUGAUCCUGGCUCAGGACGAACGCUGGCGGCGUGCCUAACACAUGCAAGUCGAGCGGGACACUUCGGUGUCCAGCGGCGGACGGGUGAGUAACACGUGGGUAACCUGCCUUGUAGAGGGGGAUAGCCUUCCGAAAGGAAGAUUAAUACCGCAUAACAUUGUUUCUUCGCAUGAAGAGACAAUCAAAGGAGCAAUCCGCUACAAGAUGGACCCGCGGCGCAUUAGCUAGUUGGUGAGGUAACGGCUCACCAAGGCAACGAUGCGUAGCCGGCCUGAGAGGGUGAACGGCCACAUUGGAACUGAGACACGGUCCAGACUCCUACGGGAGGCAGCAGUGGGGAAUAUUGCACAAUGGGCGAAAGCCUGAUGCAGCAACGCCGCGUGAGUGAUGAAGGCCUUCGGGUUGUAAAGCUCUGUCUUCUGGGACGAUAAUGACGGUACCAGAGGAGGAAGCCACGGCUAACUACGUGCCAGCAGCCGCGGUAAUA